AACCUCUGGGGAUGUCCUGUGGAUUCUGUGGAUCCUGUGGGUUGCAGGGUGGGUCCUACCUAGACCAGGCUGAUCCUGGACCAUCCCACAGAUGCUCAAUCAGAUCUGGAUGUGGGGAGUGUGGAACCCAGAUGUUCAGAGGGAGAUGAUGCCACAUCUGGUCCAGCUGAUGGAAGGUCUUGAAGUUCUCUGACUGGCCUCGACUGAAGAUGGUCGUCUCACUGGAUUUAAGAGUCCUGGUUCCAGAACAUGAUGAUGGAAUUAUAGACAAACUUUAACAAAAGCUGCCUGAGAGUUUACAAGUUUUUAUGUUAGAUUUCUUCAGUAAUUUAAUGAUAGUUAUCAGCAAUAAUCAAGUGUUGAUUUGAUGAACUUCAUUUCCUAAAACAUCCAGAAUUGGAGCUCAUAUCUUUGGCAGCUGUAAAGUUUCUGCUCCUUCAAAGUUCACAACACAAUGAAUGAAUUCCUAAAACACUCUCAAUGCUGGAGAGCGUUUGAUGCUGAAGCAGUGAUCAGUUUUUCUGUUUCUUCUCUGGAGAUGCACAAUGAGGGACGUCUGCAGAGACUGAGAAAGAGUCUCACCACAUCCUGACAUGAGGAAAAAGACUUUAUUGAAGACUACAAUGAGAAAAACUAUCAGACAGCAGACGGCUGCAUUCAAGGUGAGCUCUGAACAUUUGAUCUGGAACAGGAAUUCAAUAACGGCAGCAUGAGCUUCAUUUCAGUCUGUAGCUGCUGAAUUCAUGGAUGAAUCAUCUGGCACUAGAGAAGAAGACCAUCAAACAUCCAUGUCAGCUGAUGGAGGUCCAAGAGUCUCACCCAACAAACAACCUACAGAGUGAAGACCUCAAAUCUGAUUGGACGGCCUCCUAUUCAGCCACAUGUGUGAACAAAUGCCUCUAAGUUGAUUUGUUUUCUAAAAUAAAUCUAGUUUGAGUCCUAAUCUAUGCCUGUGUGUUUGCUUCUUUACACUGCUGUUAACAGUUUAGGCUGUUAGAUUGUUCCAGAUAAGACAAGUCCAAGAUUCUUCAGAGCCAUUCUACCACGAGCCUGACAGGAAGAACUCCAACAGCUACUGAAUGUUCCUGUGGUUCCCUCAAGGCUACAGGAGGAGUCCUACGAGGACGAGCCGGUCCACCUGAUGGAGGCCAGUCGCUGCGGUUCAAAGCCAAC
ensembl:lncRNA